rnacentral:snRNA from 1 species
GGAUAUGAGGUUGCUCUGGCUGCCACACGUGUCACCCACUGAGAGCUAGGGUUGACUCGGCUGGUCUGGCUGGCUAGUCUGAUGUCCCUUCCUCCACACCGUUCCGUGUUGACGAGGACCAUCUUCCCCAAAUAGAGGAGGACUGGUUAAGGGCGUCCAAGUAGCUGUGCUCCCCUGCUAGAACCUCCCAACAGGCUCUCAGGAAUACAAGUAUUUCAAGAUAGACUAUCUAGAUGCCCUUGUUAAAUCAAGUCCUUGUUAGAUUCAGCUAGAAGCU